UACGUAGGGUGCAAGCGUUGUCCGGAAUUAUUGGGCGUAAAGAGCUCGUAGGCGGUCUGUCGCGUCGGCUGUGAAAACUUGGGGCUCAGCCCCAAGCCUGCAGUCGAUACGGGCAGACUAGAGUCCGGCAGGGGAGACUGGAAUUCCUGGUGUAGCGGUGAAAUGCGCAGAUAUCAGGAGGAACACCGAUGGCGAAGGCAGGUCUCUGGGCCAUAACUGACGCUGAGAAGCGAAAGCAUGGGGAGCGAACAGG
rnacentral:rRNA from 1 species